CAGAGAAUAAGUGCAUUAAUGCUAUAAUUAUCUGUUGAGGAUGUUUUAUUGAUUCUGCAAUGAUAUUCUAGUCAGUUUGUAUUAUUUAGUUUCUGACUUAAAUCAGGAAGAAAUGGCUAUUGGUGAAGAAAUUAAUCAUCCAAAUCAAAUUGUCAUUGAUGCUUUCAGAAAUAAAACUGUAGCAAAGGCUUAGUCAAAGCCCUUACUUGGCCAGUGUGGGUUGCUGUGAUAAUUGAUGGGCUGGGCUGGGCAGAAGGCUUCCAUUUUCAGCUGCAAGGUUACAGGUGGAAUUUCAGGUCACUGUGAGGGCCCAGUCUUCUCCAUUCUGUUCUUCAGAUGAUGGAUCGGGAGAGAACUCUGAGGCAGGGCUUUUUCCUAAGACAGGGAGGACAGCCAGGUCUUCCAGGACUCUGAGCAGUGGCACCACUGUCCCCGAGACCUCAUGCUGCAGGAACGGGGCCGGAGGGCUGAGAGAGUGACAGCCUUAGACUUGGACUUGGUUUCAGUGAGAACUCUUUCCAUCACGAGUGACAGAGAGCCCAGUGCAAAUAGAGGAGCAAAAGGGGAGGCUGACUGAGGAGUGAACUAUUAAGGGGAAGAGCUGCUUUCCAUAUGGUUCUGCUGAAGCACAAGACCUGCCACAGACCUGGCUUCCCUGUGCCUCGGGCUGAUUUUCUUCCACCUCUGGGCCUUACCUUUAAGCUACAUGUUGGCGAGAAAGGGGCAGGAGCUCCAUGGCCCCCAUUCCAGCUCCACAUUCUCAAGGGAGGUUUGCUUCUUCUCUUUCAGAGCCCAGAUGAUGGGCUGCAUCUUGACGGCACCAAGCUGGGGCAGCUUGGGCAUGGGUGCAGCAGCUGGGGCUCUGUGUGCCCCUGCAGGGCUCUCUCCCACAGUCCUCUCAGGCUGCAUGAACGCCCCAAGACCUCCGUUUCCUGAUCCGUGAGAUGGGACUAAAGAAAACCAACUAUUUUGAUGGGACUGCAGUGAGAGCUAAAGGGAUGAGAAUUUCAAUUUGAAUGAGGCCAAAGGUCAGGGAAGCCUCAAGGAGGAGAAGGAAGAAGCAUAAAAGAAAGUCCCCAGGCUCUGGACCUCUGGGUCCCGUUCAUUUCCAGGCCCAGAGCACAGAGGCACUUGGUAGAUGCUUGUGGAAUGAAUGUCCAGGUAGGAACAUGAGUGAAUGGGUGUCCACAACUCACGCAUGAUGGAGUCCCUUGGAAUACAGAGACCUGGUGGCCUGAGAAAUAAUGACCUGGCCAUUGGGCUUCCAUUCGAGCCUGGACUCAAGCUAGGUUCCUGCCAUGCUGAGGUCAUGGUGUGAUUUUUAUUCCAGCUACAACCUGUGGGUGUCAGGGGCCCCUUGGGCAGUGGGUGAGCCAGACUGAUUGCCCAAGGCCAGUCAGCAUGCUCUGGAGUAAGUUAACAGGUGGCCAUUCUGAUGAUGAUCUCUGCUUGGGCUCAUCACUCAGGAGCCAGGGUGUAAGAUCUUGGAGUGUCCAGGUGACAGUCCAAGGUCAGAGGGAAGGGUGCCCUGGAAAGCCAUGGGUUAGGACCUGACAGGGAGUCUCCUUAGUUCCUGUGGGGAUUCCAGGCAGACACAGGCCUUGUCACACUGAAAGGCACCGUGUGACUUCCCAGAGAUGGACCAGUGGUCCUGAGAGGGUAGAGGUCUUGGCUGGUUUGGCUGGGUCCUUGGUAUUUGGAGCUGGGAGUGGGUCAGGGAUGAAUGAACAAAUAAAUAAGUGAAUAAAAAAUGCA
rnacentral:lncRNA from 1 species